AACAAAAUGCCUGAUAAAAGGGGUAUUGUGAUAAAAUAUUUUAUGGUUAUUAACCUUUUGUU
rnacentral:tRNA from 1 species